UUUUUCAACCACUGUACUUACAUAACGUUUCAGGGGUUGAACUGGUCUAGACUUAAUUUUUACGGUCUGGACUUUAUUUACAUUUUUCGAGUGCAUAAUAAGCAGAUACAUAUUUAAUAUAAAUAUGAAUGUCUGGAUUGGGGUGAGUCUCACUUAAUUUGCAGAACUUGACACAGAAGAAUCCCAACUUUUCAGGAAAUUUUCAUCCGAACAAAUUUUCGCAAAAGGUUUAACACUUCUAAAAGAACAGAUUCAUUGAUCUUGAAAAUUGCAAAAAUUAUUCAUUACGGGAAUUUUGAAAACUUCGUGGACAUCAGAAACGAUGGGAAAAUUAGUAUCCAACAUGCCGUCGAGUGGUUUACUCAACACGGGAAAGGAAAAAGUGGUUCAAGAAUUCCUGAAACAAUUUUUCUCAGUCAAAAUUGGAAAUGACGUUUCGAAAUAAGUCGGGAUUAAAUUGAUUCCUACACAUACAUAAUUUUAUUACCUUAUAAAUAUUGUAAUUACUAAUUGAAAUCAAAUCAUUUCCGAGCUAUGCCAGUUUAUGAAGUGUAUUUUCUUUUCUUUCGCCGCUAAGAUUAUUUUCCCCGAAAUUGAUUUUGUCAAAAUAUUUAUUUAUCAGGCAACAGAUUAUUUUUAAAAACAAUAUGUAUAUGUAAAUUACAUGAUAUUAAAAUUUCUGAAAACUUAAA